CGUCAAGACGAGAAACUAUUCGCCCCUCGCUUUUCUUCACUCCUGAAAGUGCUUUACAACCCUAAGGCCUUCUUCACACACGCGGCAUGGCUGGAUCAGGCUUGCGCCCAUUGUCCAAUAUUCCCGA
rnacentral:rRNA from 1 species